CGACGGUGUUCGGGCGCUUCCAUCCACAGCCUGCACGUCUGGUGUGUGGCUCGAUCGCCCGCUCGUCCGGGCGAGCGAACCCGCUGCCUGCACAACCUCACGCACCCAUUGGCCGAAUCCCCCCUUGGGAAUCGCAUUGCCACCGCCCGCAAUCGUCUCCAACCUCUGCAUCGGCAGAUCUUCCCCUUCCUCUGUCGGCUUUCUUCUCUAGUUGCCAUGGCAACCAGAUCAGAUCCCUAGCGCCCACACCCCCCCAUCAACGGAAAAAGAUGGCAAAAAGCUCACAGUUGCCAAAAACAUAGUGUGUAAAGCAGAGAAAAUGAAUCAUGAAGACAUGGCUGAUCCAUGGUUUCCUCGAAGGCCGCAAGUGCCAUUUUGGGAUGCAAUAGAGUACAAUCAACUCAUUUCUACAGGACCAUUGCUACCACUACUAGAGCAGUACAUGAGCUUAGGUUCUUAUGACACGAACACACAAGCAGGGGUACCGUCGCAAGUUGGAACACGAGGGGCUGGUCGGUGAUAGAUAUACAAGAAACCAACUUCAAGUAGCAAAUGUGGCAAAUCAAGGACCAUCAUGCAGCACGUGGCGACAGGUGGCAGCCGGGUUAUUAUGAUGCAACCACACCAGCAAAUGUCUCGUGGCAAGCUUCACUAUUGCAGGCCAUCGGUAAUGCAGAUACAACGCACCAAAUUGAAGUGGCACGGCAACUUCAAUUAGCACAUGUGGUGCAGCAAGGAGCUUCAACUACAAUCAACAGUGGCGAAGGAACAUCUGUUGCGGGAACCUCAGAGCAUAUUGAAGGAGCAUUCCAUGAGCAAGUCACCAAUGCUGCCACAAACAAUGCGGAAUCAGUGUCAGAAAUGGCAAUCGUUGCAGCAAUGCCGACAAGCACACCUAUGCACACCAGCACAAGCAACACUCAAGCAGAUGAAACAGCCACCAAUACUGAAGUAAAUGAUGAAACUGAUGACGAAGCGCAAGGGGAAGAAGAAGAUGGACAAUCGGAAAUCAUGAUACCUCAGCCACCAUAUCUUGGACAGAGAUUUGGUACUUUUGAAGAUGCCAAGGAGUACUACCAGAGAAAUGCGAUGUUCCAUGGAUUUGCGGUGAACACAGAAUACCAUAGGAAAAUUAAAAAACUAACGAGUAUAGCAGAGGUGAGAUAAGGUGCUACAAGGCACGAAAGAACAAGAAAGGUAAAGGUGUUGUGCCUGUCAUGCCAGAACGAAAGAGAGGCGUCAUUCUCAAGACGAGAUGCCCUCUCCGGUUGAAGCUAAACACAAAUGGAGCAUGGUGGGUGGUCACCAAAUAUGUCGAAGAACACAACCAUGACCUCAUAAAGAAGUUUGACCUAGUAAACUUUUUGAGUGCCCACAGAGGAUUCAGUCCCAUCGAGAAGAAAUUCAUAAGGUUGCUACAUGAUUGUAACAUCGGUCCACCAAGAAUGGUCCAAAUAUUGUCCCUGAUCCACAGCGGAGAUGGGAGCCUGAGUAGCAUGCCUUACAUACCAGCAGACAUCACUAACCUAAAGGAAAAUACCGUAAAGAGAGCAGGUUGGCUGACAUAGAAGCCAUGAUAGCCUACUUCGAAGAGAAAGCAAAAGCAGAUAGUGAUUUCUUCUACAGGAUAAGGUUGGACGAUGAGGACCGUGUCAAAAACAUGUAUUGGGUGGAUGGUGCUGCAAGAAGAGCCUACAAACAUUUCCAUGAUUGCAUUUUGUUCGACGCAACAUAUCUCAUGAAUAUGUACAAGAUGUCAUGUGCUCCAUUCAUAGGAAUAAACAACCACAAUCAGUCCUUGCAGUUUGGUUGCAGUCUCAUUCAGAAUGAAGAUACCGAUGGUUACACUUGGCUAUUCAAAACCUUCUUGGAGUGCAUGGAUGGACUAGCUCCGAUGAACAUAAUAACGGACCAGGAUUUUAGCAUGCGCGCAGGCAUAGAGGAGGUCUUUCCGUUGGCAGUGCAUAGGCACUAUAGGUGGCAUAUUAUUAAGAAGGUUGAAGAGACGCUAGGACCAUUAUUCGCUGACCAUCCAGAGCUACACAAGGCAUUCGAGUUGUGUGUGGACCACAGCUUGACGGUGGAGGAGUUUGAAUGGAGCUAGACAGCUAUGAUUGAAACAUACCUCAAUUCCAAGACAACGAGACACUAAAUAGCUUGUGGGAGAAGCGAAUGUACUGGGUGCCGUCCUACUUCAUGCAGUGCUUCUUUCCAUUUCUGCGGAUUACACAACGCAACAAAGGGUUCAAUCUUGUUUUGAAUCGUUAUGUUAGCCCUGGCAACUCAUUGCUGUAGUUUGCCAAGAAAUAUUCAGCAUUGCAACAGAAAAUACUGGGAUCUGAACUACAGCAAGAAGCAAAUCGCACUCAAGUAGCCAAAAUUGCUAACAUACUUAUUGAUGGAGAGGCAUAUGAGCAAGAUAUACACCACCAAGAUAUUUAAAAGAUCCCAAGAAGAAAUAAAGCGGGCCAACAUGUACACAUCUUACUAGGUUGACGAACAAACCUUCAAGGUGUGUACUCUCAUGGGCAUGUCUGAUUCAGAGCUUGAAGACCCGGACAAGGGACGAAACUACUUUGUCAAGGCCUCAAUAACCGAAGGUGAAUACUACUGUCAAUGCUGCAAAUACGAACGGGAUGGGAUUGUGUGCUGCCACAUACUCAAAGUAAUGGACAUGCACGCGAUCACGUGAUUGCCCCACCAUUUCAUACGACGACGGUGGACUUGGGACGCUAACGAUGCAUUGGGGCCACAAACAUCAACUGCAGUUUGGCUGUACAUGAUGAGAGACCAGAGGCAACCAUGGAGUCCGUUAGGCACGUUGUAUUGUCAAAGAACUAUGCUGAGCUAAUAGAUGAAGCAUGCAAAAGUGAUGAGACAGCCAGGGUGGCAGAAAAGCACAAGAAGGCCCUGAAAAGAGAGCUUGAUGAGAUCAAGAAGAGAAAUGCUGAAGAAGCCUUACAUCAGUUCCCCCGCACCUCAAGUGUGCCUUCGUCCACGGGUCCAUCCUUUGAAAACUCAGAGGUAGGUUCUGGAACAGCAAGCAUGCAGACUCAGGUCAGGAACCCACCUCGUUCUGUCACAAAAGGGCAUCCAAAAGAGAUAUGAUACAAAUCGAGGUUGGAAAUUCAAGCAAACCACAAGAAGGCAAAGAAAGGGGCGGGCAAUCCAUAAAGCAACUAUGGAGGAUUGUAACUUGGUUGUUGAUGACAAUUUGGUAACGUAGAUGAUCAAGGUUUAAAAUAUGUGGGAGUGAAUGUUGGUGGAAAACAGAAAUUGGAAAAAAUGCCAUGUAUGCACAACUAAAAUUGUUGUGUAGUUGCUACUAAAUCUGCCAUGCAGCCUGCACUGAAUCUGCCAUGUAGUUGCUACUGAAACUGCCUUCAUGUAGUUUACCAUUUUUC